GGACCUGUGGCCCAGUCUGGAUAAGGCGAUUCCCUCCUAAGGAAUAGACCGGGGGUUCAAAUCCUCCCAGGUCCG
rnacentral:tRNA from 1 species